AGCUUUGCGCAGUGGCAGUAUUGUAGCCAACGAGGUUUAUCUGAGGUGCAAUUAUUGCUAAUUGAAAACUUUUUCCAAAAUGUUAACUUUUCAUUUACCUUUGGGGAUAAGCCAGAAGUUACGUGGUGCUAGAUCUGGU